rnacentral:rRNA from 1 species
GAUGAACGCUGGCGGCGUGCCUAAUACAUGCAAGUCGAGCGAACAGAUGAGGAGCUUGCUCCUCUGACGUUAGCGGCGGACGGGUGAGUAACACGUGGAUAACCUACCUAUAAGACUGGGAUAACUUCGGGAAACCGGAGCUAAUACCGGAUAAUAUAUUGAACCGCAUGGUUCAAUAGUGAAAGACGGUUUUGCUGUCACUUAUAGAUGGAUCCGCGCCGCAUUAGCUAGUUGGUAAGGUAACGGCUUACCAAGGCAACGAUGCGUAGCCGACCUGAGAGGGUGAUCGGCCACACUGGAACUGGGACACGGUCCAGACUCCAACGGGAGGCAGCAGUAGGGAAUCUUCCGCAAUGGGCGAAAGCCUGACGGAGCAACGCCGCGUGAGUGAUGAAGGUCUUCGGAUCGUAAAACUCUGUUAUUAGGGAAGAACAAAUGUGUAAGUAACUAUGCACGUCUGGACGGUACCUAAUCAGAAGACCACGGCUAACUACGU